rnacentral:rRNA from 1 species
UACGAAGGGGGCUAGCGUUGCUCGGAAUCACUGGGCGUAAAGGGUGCGUAGGCGGGGCUUUAAGUCAGGGGUGAAAUCCUGGAGCUCAACUCCAGAACUGCCUUUGAUACUGAAGAUCUUGAGUUCGGGAGAGGUGAGUGGAACUGCGGGUGUAGAGGUGAAAUUCGUAGAUAUUCGCAAGAACACCAGUGGCGAAGGCGGCGCACUGGCCCGAUACUGACGCUGAGGCACGAAAGCGUGGGGAGCAAACAGG